rnacentral:misc_RNA from 1 species
AACUUUUAACAACGGAUCACUUGGCACUCGCAUCGAUGAAGAACGCAGCGAAAUGCGAUAAGUAAUGUGAAUUGCAGAAAUCAGUGAAUCAUCGAAUUUUUGAACGCACCUUGCGCUCCCUGGUAUUCCGGGGAGCACGCCUGUUCGAGUGUCGUGAAAUUCUCAAACCGGGAUGCUUUUUUGUUUCUCGGCUUGGUGUUGGGCUUUGCAGUUCCUUUGAUUGGGAUGGCUGGCCUCAAAAGCAUUAGCUGGCUUUUAAUGUGGCAUUGGUUCUACUCAGCGUGAUAAUGAUCUGACCGCCGAGGACAUCUUUCGAGAUGGCCAAUUCUCAUUUGGGCUGCUUCUAACUUUGGUCGAGCAGAUUCUGAAUCUGUUCCACUUUUCAGCUUUUGACCUCGAAUCAGGUGGGACUACCCGCUGAACUUAAGCAUAUCAAUAAGCGGAGGCU